ensembl:misc_RNA 7SK 7SK RNA
GGAUGUGAGGGUGAUCUGGCUAAGACCUCUGUCACCCCACUGAUUUCCAGGGGUGAUCUGGCUUAUCUGGCUGGCCAGGCAGGUGUCCCCCUUUCCCCUUACCAUUCCAUGUGCGUCCCUCCUGUGCCAGCGUGAAGAGGACCUGAUAGAGGAGGACCAUUCCUCCGUCAAGGGUAUAAGAGUAGUUGUGCUACCUUCUAGAACCUUCUAACUAGCUUUUAAUUUUUUGAAUAUAUACCUCAAAAUGGAAUUGCUGGGUUGUAUGGUAAGUCUCUUUAAUUUCAUGAAGAAUUGCUAUAAUGUUU